CCUGUUUCAAUUCCCGCCUGCUCCUCCUCAAUGGAAGCUCCGUAUAUGACACGUAUGAGCAUAAGAAUGGUGUCAAACCUGCCCAGGAUACCAGAAAUUUCUGUGAAUUUGGAUGAUGAGGAUUAACCAGAGUGUUUCUCUUCACCCCACAACACCUGCUCCUGAAAAGGAAGCAUUUGUUCCUUGCAUGCAAAUCAUUUUGUAUUAAAGAGGCAUCUAAUGAGCAUCGGAUGAAAGUCCCCUGGAGCAGGUUGCAUUUCCUUCUUCUUGAAGUACAACCACAGUAUUUCAUUCUCGGAAAGUAGUAAGUCCUCUAAGUUUUGGACUAAAAAUGUCUCUGUUUCAUCCUCAGUCUUAAACGAAAAUUUAGUUAAAAAUAGAACUGUAGGCUGAUACUCUCAGACUGAAGGUAUUAGUCCAUUAUCUCGUGGCUUAUACUGUUGCUGUUGCAAAGUCUGUGAACAUUUUAAUUUUUAUUCUUCUUUUUUAAUCUGUCUUUUUUUCUCUGGUUUCUUUGAAUAUUUUUUCUUGUUUUUGAAAUUCUGAAUCUUCAAUAAGAUUUGUCUGGAAGUGGAAUUAUUUUUCUUUUUCUUCAGGAAUCAUUGUUCUCCUUGAGACAGAGGAUUCAUAUCUUUCAUCAAUUCUAGGAACUUCGAGGUUAUUGACUCUUCGGAUACUGCUUGUCCUUGACUUUCCUUCUCCUCUGAGAACUCUUGGUGGACAUGGUUUGUAUGCUCUCAUUCCAUCUUCCAUGUUUCUUAACGUCACUUUCACGUUUUUCUCUCUCUAUAUCUCUAGCUGUGCUGCAUUCUUGGAAAUCUCUUCAGAUCUAUUUUCCAGUUGACUAUUUCUCCAGUCAGUGGUGUCUACUCUGCUGUUUAAAUCAUUCAUUAAAUUUUUUCCAAGAUAUUUUUCCUAAAAGUUCUACAUGAUUCUUUCAAAUCUGUCAAUUACUUUCUCACGUUGUCCUGUUCUUAUGACUUGAAAUCCUUCUUUUAUGUAUUUAAUCACUUAUAUUUAUUUUAUAUUAUCUUUCAUAUAUUGUCAUUCAAUUAUCUGAAGUUCUUAGGGUAUAACCUGAUUUUUGUUGUCUCUGCUUUACAAAUCUUUUAUGUCCUCUGUGGGAGUAUAUCUCUCUUUAAAACGUUUUUGCAUUCAUUCCUGCAAAGAGUCCUAGCUGUAUCCCCAGUCUGGGAACAAUUUUUUUGAAAAAUUUUUGGUUUGGCUGCUGCCAGACUGUAUGGGUAAUACAAAUUCACCACCCAAAACUCAGAUGAACUACAGCCCUGUGGUCAUGAAUUUGGGAGGCGAGGGAAAGGGGAUCUCUUUUCCACUCAAAGAGAGGCAAGGUUCCUGUUGUCCUUCCAUACCAGUGCACAGAUUUUCCUAGUUCACCCCUUCACUGAGGGGAUAGCCAUUUGAGCCUGUGGGUCGAAGGAGAGGUUGGGUUCAGUUCCAGCUCUGCCUUCUUUCUCAGCUCAUGGCCUCAUGUCCUGUAGCCACGUGGGCAUUAAAAUCCGAGUUCCUGGGCUACAGAGAUUGAUGACCUGCUUUGUGUCCUCCUCCGACCCAGGAAUAAACAAGAGCUGAUGAUUUUGGCUUUCACUUCCCUCUGUUUCUAGAACCAGGGGAUUUCCUCUCUUUCUCUUAAAGCUAACUUGUCAUUCAAAAGAAUGUUUGCUAGAUUUCAUCCUGAAUUUCUGGAUAUUUGCGGAAGGAUUUGAGAUCAUCCAGUUCUUCAUAUUUCUAGAACCAGCAAGGUUACUGACACAGGCUUGUUCACUCCCUGCCUCCACUUCCUCUGGUUCUAUUCAGUUCUCAACUAGAACGUUCUGGCUUUUGCUCCCCUCUCUGGAGCAGUCCAUUCUAAUAAUACCAAACUGCACACACCAAAAUGAUCCCUCCACCUGAAAUUCCCCUCACUCUCUCUUGACCUGUUUACUCCACUUUUAGCUAUUCAUUAACCAGGAGGGCAUAUUUUCCUCUUCUCUGAGAAGGCUUUCCUUUUUUUUU